GAUUUUGAUAUAUUACAGUUGUAUUUAACUUAAAAAUUCACGGAGAUAUUAAAUGUUCAAAAUCGGGAGCCUAUUUUGGGAUGUGUCAAAAUUAGCGAAAAUCGCCAUAUCAAAUAUUAACUCCAGCGUUUGUUUGCUUAAUGACAUAUCAGGCUAACUUGUAUUUCAGCGAAUUAUCGUUAGGGUUUGUAAGGGAUAUGGCGUAGAUUUAGACAUCUUACAUGUAAGUCUUAGCUCAUUGUUUCCUGAAAU